CUCACGCUUGGGGCGGAGGCGGCCGAGGUGAGCGCUCUGGGCGCCUGUGAGAAGGGAAGGCCCCGGCUGCUGGGCAGUCCUUGCGCUAAAGGGGAGGAGAAAGGACCUCCAGCUGGCAUGGGUCCGAGGCCAGCACGUCCUGCUGAGCCGCCGAGGGAAUGAGAGGCGAGGGCUGCGAGCUGUUGUUGGAAGGAAACGCAACCUUUGUUUUCUCAGAGGCAGAACUCUGGACACGCAAAUAUCUGUCUUGAGUCUCUCGGACGUACAGGUUCCGAGCCGCCGGGCUCCUGAGGUCCUCCGGUGUGAAAGGGGCGGGUGCUCGGGGCGGCUGGAGGAGCCCUGGGUCUCUUCCUCAAGGCGUCUCCCCAAACCUCACUUUCCAUCUGAGCCUUUUUUUUUUUUUUUUCUGGCCUCUACCUCUGUAUCGCAAGGAGCCGACUUGAAGGCAGGUCUUGCGAAUGAAAGCGGAUUGAUUUAAAGACUCAAGACGCAGUGGGUGGGGAGGCGGAGAGUUUGAAUGUCCGGGGAUCGGGUAGGCUGCGUGCGGGAGACUGAGAAGGACCCAGUGUCUGGGGUACUUCACUGUGCUGGGUGGCUGAGGAGCAGUGAAAUCAAGCGGCCAGGGCCCAAGGAGAGGGUAGCUGCAGGGGCUGCUGAGGGAACCGGGAGGAAGGGCUGAGGGAUGGGGUCAGAGCAGAUGGUCACCAGGCCGCACGGAGCCCCGGCGGAGACCCUCUGCCGCUGCCUGGCAGCACAUUCGAAUAGGCUCAGAGCCCGAGUGGAAGAAGGAAUGUGGGAGCACUCAGCACAGGCUCAUCGAUUUGGCGGUGGUUGGGGUGCCUCCAACACUCUGACCCAAAUGGCCUCACCUCAGGGAGGGGACUUAACACCUUCAGCAUCUGAUGGGCGUUUCCCGCCUGCCUGGGUGGCCCAGCUGCAGGAGAGUUUGACAGGUUCUCUGGGGAUGGAUUGCUUUCUGUUUCUCAGAGGCAGGACUCUGGACGGGAAAUGUCUGUCUUGAGUCUUGGCCCCGCCCCCCACCCAGGUCAUUGUCAUGCGGCAAAGGGGCUGAUGGUCGGGAAGGGAGCGUCUAACAGUGGUGCUGGUUCCACUGGGCGACUGUGCAAAAGACUGCAAAUCGCUAGGCUUUGCGCUGCAAGACCCCUCCCCCAAAUUCCCUCCUCUCUUUCCUUUGGGGCCUCGUUUUCCUGUCCCCAAGCCCUGUUUCAGGGAGCAGACCUAAAGGUCUCGGGAAUUAAAGUAGGGUAAUUAAAAGGAUUUUAAUGCAUUAAGGUGGGGUGGGGGUGUGUGUGCUGGGAGUCUUUGAGAGAAUUGCCCCUCUCUCUGGGCACUUCACUUGGCUUAGAAGGUGAGGAGGAAUUCUAUCAAGCUGGCAGUUGCCCAAGGCCAGGAGAGCCCUGGGGGGCUGCUGAGGGAAACCGGAGGAAAGGCUGAGAGUCAGUGUUAGAGGAGACGGCCUCCAGAAGGGGCCAGAGCACAGACAAAGCCCAUCUGAAGCCCCCUGGCUGCACCUCCAGGCUACGAGGUGGUGCCAAGAGGGGUUAGUGGGAGUCCUAGGAUGUGUUAAGAUGGCUCACAGGGCGCUAUUGACUCUCUGGCACAAAUUGACUCGCAUCAGGGAGCAGAAAGAUGUUUGCUUUCUGCAUCUGAUGGGUAGUUCCAUCCGGCUCUGGCUGCCCAGGGGCCAGAGAGGUGAACACGUUCUCUGGGGUUGGUUUGCUCUUAGUUUCUCAGGGGGCAGGGACACUGGACCCACAAUAUCUGCUUGAAUCUUGGCCUCGCAAUUACCAAUCCUGCAGCUUCUGUAAAGUCAUCACGUGUCCAACGGGGCUGGUGGUCAUGAAGGGAGCUUGUGAAAGUGAUGCUAUUUUGAGGGGCAGACAGGAAUCCCUGGGCUUUAUCUUUCAGGAGUUCUCCCCGGAUUCUUUCUUCCCCUUCCAUCUGAACCUCUAUGUCCUGUCUGCAAUCGCUGUUUCAAGGAGCAGAACUAAGGGAAGGGCCUGAGAGGGAAGGCAGCUGGGACUGAUUUAAAGAAGGCUCUCGGUACCCAAUGGUGGGGAUGCAGAGGUUUUUAUGUAUUGGGGUGGGGUAAGUUGGGGUGAGCACUCGGGGACACUGUGAGAGGGAAAUACCUCAGCAUCUAGGGCAUUCAUUCGGCUCAGCAGCUGAGGAGAAAUGAAAUCGAGCAGCUCAGGCCCAAGGCCCGGGUAGCUUCUAGGGCGGCUGAGAAACAGGAGGAAGGGCUGAGAGACGGUGUUAGAUGAAGGUCGCCAGGCUGAACCCCAGCCCAGGCAGAGCCCCUGGCAGACGCCUGGCUGAGACUCCGGGCUCAGAGGUGCAGUUGAGGGAGGACUGUGGGACCCUCAGCACAUGCUCAGAGGCUUGGGCUGGAAACAGGGAGCCUCUACGGCUCUGGCCAAACGGACUCACCUCAGGGCAGGGACACAGCUGUGCCCUCAGCAUCUGGCGGGCAUGUCAGCCAGAUCGGUGCCCCAGGGCCAGAGUGUGACAGGCUCCCUGGGUCAGCUGGCCCUGUUGCUCCAGAGGCAGACCCUUGGGUCCAGAAACAACAGGGCUAAAGAUGGGGCUUUGCCGUUUGAAGCACUGGUCUUGGGCACAGACCGGCGUGAGUGUCCUCUGCUCCUUCCUCUCAGCGAACUGAACACCCAAGAAGAGAGGGCGUGAUGUCAGCCACUUUCAGAAACCUGAACAUUCGAGAUUCAAGCCAGUGCCCAGAAACACGCUACGGGCUGGGGUGUGACAAUCUCAGAGCCGGAACUCACCCCACACCCUGAAAUCAACAACCCCACUUGCCACCCUCCUUUUAAGUCAGGACAGCAGGCUUUGAAUCAGCAGCCUUCCUCCCUGGGACUCUGCUUGGAAUCCUAAACAAAUCAGCUGUGAUUCAC